GACCGGAGACUACUACAAUCUUACUAAGCCUUUGUCUAACUAUUGACCCGGACUAAAGGUUUUUUGAUUGAUCGCUGAAUGAUGGGCAUUUUGCUAAGCCAAAUAGAAUUCGAAUAAGUUUGUAAACGAUUAAAAUAUUUUGUAUAUGGGUUCGAAGCUUACUUUGACACACCGAGUAUACCGAGUAGGUACACCGAGCAAGGACACAGCAGCAGUGUGCGUAGAGCGAUGCCAGAGAGCGGCUUUCAUUCAUGCCGCCUCGGGCUACGUUCCUCACGAGAUCUCAUCAUC